rnacentral:rRNA from 1 species
CUUGGUCAGGACGAACGCUGGCGGCGUGCCUAAUACAUGCAAGUCGAACGGUCUUUCUAUGGAAGCUUGCUUCCACUGAGAAGAUAGUGGCGAACGGGUGAGUAACACGUGGGUAACCUGCCCAUAAGAGGGGGAUAACAUCCGGAAACGGGUGCUAAUACCGCAUAGUUUUCUUGAUCGCAUGAUUGAGAAAGGAAAGACGGCCUUUGUGCUGUCGCUUAUGGAUGGACCCGCGGCGUAUUAGUUAGUUGGUGAGGUAAUGGCUCACCAAGACGAUGAUACGUAGCCGACCUGAGAGGGUGAUCGGCCACAUUGGGACUGAGACACGGCCCAAACUCCUACGGGAGGCAGCAGUAGGGAAUCUUCCGCAAUGGACGAAAGUCUGACGGAGCAACGCCGCGUGAGUGAAGAAAAGGUUUUCGGAUCGUAAAACUCUGUUGUCAGAGAAGAACAAGUUGGAGAGUAACUGCUCCAGCCUUGACGGUAUCUGACCAGAAAGCCACGGCUAACUACGUGCCAGCCGCCGC